rnacentral:rRNA from 1 species
AGUUUGAUCCUGGCUCAGGAUGAACGCUGGCGGCGUGCUUAACACAUGCAAGUCGAACGGGGUGCCUUUGAAAGAGGAUUCGUCCAAUUGAGAAGGUUACCUAGUGGCGGACGGGUGAGUAACGCGUGAGUAACCUGCCUUGGAGUGGGGAAUAACACAUCGAAAGAUGUGCUAAUACCGCAUAAUGCAGUUGGGCCGCAUGGCUCUGGCUGCCAAAGAUUUAUCGCUCUGAGAUGGACUCGCGUCUGAUUAGCUGGUUGGCGGGGUAACGGCCCACCAAGGCGACGAUCAGUAGCCGGACUGAGAGGUUGACCGGCCACAUUGGGACUGAGACACGGCCCGGACUCCUACGGGAGGCAGCAGUGGGGAAUAUUGGGCAAUGGGCGCAAGCCUGACCCAGCAACGCCGCGUGAAGGAAGAAGGCUUUCGGGUUGUAAACUUCUUUUAUCAGGGACGAAGCAAGUGACGGUACCUGAUGAAUAAGCCACGGCUAACUACGUG